rnacentral:rRNA from 1 species
CGGAGGGAUCAUUAAAGAGUUCUAUAACUCCCAAACCCAUGUGAACAUACCUAACGUUGCCUCGGCAGGUCGCACCUACCUUGUAGCACCCUACCCUGUAGGGCCUACCCGGGAGAUGCGGGUAAGCCUGCCGGCGGCCCACUAAACUCUGUUUGAUAUUGAAUUCUGAACAUAUAACUAAAUAAGUUAAAACUUUCAACAACGGAUCUCUUGGUUCUGGCAUCGAUGAAGAACGCAGCGAAAUGCGAUAAGUAAUGUGAAUUGCAGAAUUCAGUGAAUCAUCGAAUCUUUGAACGCAUAUUGCGCCCAUUAGUAUUCUAGUGGGCAGGACCGUUCGAGCGUCAUUUCGACCCUUAAGCCUUAGUUGCUUAGUGUUGGGAGCCUACGGCAACGUAGCUCCUCAAAGUUAGUGGCGGAGUUGGUUCACACUCUAGACGUAGUAAUUUUUUAUCUCGCCUAUUAGUUGGACUGAUCCCCUGCCGUAAAACCCCCAACUUAUCAAGGUUGACCUCGAAUCGGUUCAGACAAACUCGCUAAAUUGAAGCAUCUUAGUCAGCGAAGGAAAAGAAACCAACAGGGAUUGCCCUAGUAACGGCGAGUGAAGCGGCAACAGCUCAAAUUUGAAAUCUGG